UCGGGCGGAUGGGUGGGGAUGAGCUUGCGGAGCUCGGCGAAGGCGCCGUUCACGUUCUGCUGCCUCCAGCGCUCGCGGCUGUUCGUGAAGAUCCGUCGCACGAUUUUGGGCUGUGAUCCUAAAGAGAAGAAGAAGAGGAAAUCGUUUUAAGUGUGGACACAGGAAUGCAGAGAGAGGCCAGUCAGGAGAGGACAGCUGUAUGUGUUUAACUGCGUCCAAGCCACAAUCGCAGUAUAGCGGUUACAUCACAUGCAGAUUUGUCAUGCAUUAUAUAAAAAAACAUGUUCAGGAACUGUAAAUUUGAUCAAGUCCCAAUGUGGAAUCAAGGCCGCGUCAUCUGUAUCCUCCACGGCUCUGAUGCGGUCAGCUGACCAGCCAAAGCCGGGAUUUCAGUGACCCACAUUUCUCAUACGAGUGCGGUGAGAGAGCAGCUUUAGUUAUGCCUUCUGGUGUUCCUCGGGGGGAAUGAGUCUAUCAAUAGCUGUCCAUGUUUGUGCGAAAGAAUGUGGCCGGGCCGGCUACGGAGAUGGUCCUGCUGAAGCUAUCUUCAGCUUUGGGAUAAAAAUUACUUUUAUUUACGUAUAUACUGAGUGAAUGUGUUGUUGAUUCCUUAAGAAGCUAUUAAGAAGGUUGAUCUACCUGAUUUGACCCUUACUUUCUCACAGUUUCUGAUAAAUGACAUUUCUCUGACAUAUUUCAGAGCUGGAAAAAUGAAGAGACCAUUUGAAAUUUUCAUUUCAAAUCAGCAUUUCUAGAUGUAUUGUGGCCAUUCCAGUUCAGUGUUUGUUGAAU